rnacentral:misc_RNA from 1 species
AACUUUUGACAAUGGAUCUCUUGGCUCUCGCAUCGAUGAAGAACGCAGUGAAAUGCGAUACGUAAUGUGAAUUGCAGAAUUCAGUGAAUCAUCGAAUUUUUGAACGCACCUUGCGCUCCCUGGUAUUCCGGGGAGCACGCCUGUUCGAGUGUCGUGAAAUUCUCAAACUGAGAUGCUUUUUUGUUUCUCGGCUUGGUGUUGGGCUUUGCAGUUCCCUUUGAUUGGGAUGGCUGGCCUCAAAUGCAUUAGCUGUCUUUUCAUGUGGGAUUGGUUCUACUCAGCGUGAUAAUGAUCUGACCGCCGAGGACAUCUUUCGAGUUGGCCAAUUCUCAUUUGGGCUUCUUCUAAUCUUGGUCGAGCAGAUUCUGAAUCUGUUCCACUUUUCAACUUUUGACCUCGAAUCAGGUGGGACUACCCGCUGAACUUAAGCAUAUCAAUAAGCGGAGGCU